UUUCCUUUUCCUUUCCUUUCCUUCUUUCCUUUCCUUUCCUUUCCUUCCUUUCCUUUCCUUUCCUUUCCUUUCCUUUCCUUCUUGGGUCUUGACAUUCAAGCCACCUGAACACCAAAGUUUCUAUUUAUAAUCCUACCGGUAUCCUGGCAGGACAAUUUUUCUUUUGUCUUUGUUCAUGCAUAUAAUGUUUGUAAAAGGGCAGAAAUGUGAUGUUCUUGAUUACAGUGAGAACUACCCUAGCUACAAGUAUCUGCAUUCAUGUAGCAAAGUACUAGUCAGCACUACUUCGCAAAGUAACUCUCAAUAGCAUCCAGCACUACAGAAUAAAAGCACUGCCUGUGUGGCUGGUCUCAGUGAAAGAAAUAGGGCAGAAGUCAUAAUCUGAGAGGGGACUGAUCUGCACAGAAAGGACAAAUAUGUUGCCUGGUGCUUGUGAAAAUGGAAGCAUUGAAGAAAAAAUUAUCUUCUGCAAUUAGGUCCAUGUUAGGCAAUCCAGCCUGCCUCACCUGCCAAAGUCAGAAGUGGUCAUAUCUGCACAAAGUGAUAAUUUUUCUAUCCCUUUUCUUGUCAAGAUUGCGUCAAUCAUCAUGUGACAGACCACCCAUGUGUAAAAAGACGUAUGUCUGGUGGGAGCUGAUAUGGAACCUACAGAUGGGUUUACUGGCUUCAAAAAGCAGAGAUGAGCAUUUUUCCCAGCUCCUUGUCCCAGUUGUGAAUCCUUCUCAGUGCUAAGGGCCUAAGAACCAAGCCCUUCCCUUUCUAAGUCACAGCAGAAAGCGUGUGCAUGUGUGCCUGUGCCUGAUCUCCUAGGGAAAAGUAAAAGGUAAAAGUCUUCUACCCAUGGAAGUAAGUUCAAUGAUGCUAGCCUGCAGGGACACAGGUCUGGAGAUGUGGAGUGUGAUGGUACCAGCCACACGAAUAUUGCCUGAGGUGAGAGAUUCCAGUAAUUUUCCUUGCUGUUAUGGGAAAUGUCAUCUGUAAUUCCAGUUUUGGCAGGUUUUUCUGUAAUUAUUUGCCUGUUGCACACACCUUUUGCUGGAACAAGACACUGCCCCUCCAGCUGUGAUCUGGCAGAUAGCAGCAGUGCUGCUGCCUCUGCUUUUGUGCUAACACCGGCAUCUGCAUGACUCGGCAUGGGAAAAGAGCAGGGAAUUAACCUUUUUUAAAAUUAUUUUUAUGAACAACAACAACAAAACACCCCAACAUCCAAGCUUAUUUUUUUUUAGCUGGAUCAGAUCCUUGUGCUGGAUCAGUGAACAGUUGUGGAAAUACUUGUGCCACCUUGCGGGUGGGCAGCAGGUACCCUUGGGAAAGAAGGGGUGGUGGCUUCUUCAGGCAACUUCUUGAGGCACAAGGCCAGGGAGAAUUGAACUUUCUCUUGUGAUCAUAAGCUGCAAAAGACACCGCUGCAGGCAGAACACCGGGGCUGCUGCAGCAAUCCCUCCAAGCCCAGGCAAGGCCUUGAUGUGCUAAAUGCAAAGCUUAAGACUUUUCUUUGGUACUGACUUGCCUACUUCCUCUCAGCAGCAGCACUAAACACAACUUGCUGUCAGUGUAUACAUAGGACCAUAUUUCUAACACCUCUGCCACCAUUCAGUAUGUGAAUUGUGUUCUGGCACACGUUUUUAAAGGGCUGUAUCAGCACUGCAUUAGCAUGUAGGCAGCUCAAGAUAAUAUCUGAAAAACCUGUGAGCAGACAAACCCUAAAAUUAGUAUGCCUUGUGUAGAUUUGGCCUGAAGAUGGGUAAAAACCUGAUCUGUACUAGUCAAACUGCAGUUCAGCCUUAUCUCCACAGCUCUACAGGCAUGCUUGGUCUGGUACUCAGCAGCCACCUUUCCUUCACCUGUGAUCCAAGGCUGAGAUGUUGGUAGGUCCUUCGUUAGGGUGAUAUGACUCUUUUUAAAAGGAAGAUUCUUACUUAAAAAAGGAUUUUCACAAGGUAUGUGGUGUUGAAAGUUUGUUUCUUAAAAUCAACUCUUCUGAGAAAUUCUGACAUCAGAAUAUGAUUAACUGUGCUGUUCCUGUUGUAUCUUGUUUCAGGAAGUCAACAGUAGUGCCAUGGAAGUGGGAGGGUAUUAUUUUACAUAGCACACAGAUUUAAUUUCAAGAUGUAUGCUGACAGCCUAUGCUACUCUCUCUGCCAUAAUAAAAUCAGAUAAUUAAGUUUAGAAAACCUCAAGUAUUCUUUUUACUUGAUCUUUAGAGCUGCUGCAAAUACUUUUGCAGUCAGAAAUACACAUUCCUUUCUUGUGCUGCGACAGUAGAGAGCUACUGGCCUUAUAGCUGCUUUAUUGUAUGAAUGGCUCUGUGCUGGACAUUUUAUUUCUCUGUUACUAUAAAGUUAGACCCUGAAGUCUGUACCUGUACACAUUUUUUAUUCCAGCACAGUUUUCUGUGAAAAAUAUUUUUUUUUUUUCAAAUAUAACUGAUUAAAUAUGUCAGGAAUUAGACCUGUAUUUGUUUAGUGCCACUUGUUUGUUCAGUAUUGUCAGUAGGUAAUUGUUUCCAUCUCAGACAUUUAAAAUGCUUUAUAUAGUCUAGUGCCUACAAACUAGCUCAAGUAAUUAUUUUUUUUUUUUUGAUGAAAGACUUUUUCAGUUUUUCUCUAGGACUGUAAAAAUAAACAUAACUUCAGGAUGGGAUUUCAAAAUAUUUGUGGACAAAUUAACUAAUUAACUUCUUUUCCUUUUUUUUUUUUUUUUUUUUUUUUUUUUUCUGGUUCUACAUCAAAUCCUUGUGUGGGAUUUCCCUUUUCUAAUUGUGAACUUAAAUUAUCACAAAUAUCACAAAUAUAAGCUGAAAUACUGGACCUACUGAACAGCAAAAAAAAAAAAAAGAAGCUUUCUAUGGAAACUAAAUUCAGAAUUUAAAUUAUAAUCCUAUAAUUUCAUGUCAUACAAAGUUUACUUGCCAGAGGGUAUCUGACACUGAGCAACUAUUCCAGCACAGGAGCAGGUGCAGCCCCAGGGCAGGUUUCCUUGGCUCCUGAGACAAAGGCUGUGGUGCUCAGGACUGCAGAAGGUGCCAGGAUCUGCCACCCUGCCUGGUACCUGCCCUGUUUCCAUUAGUGAUCUCAGUGCUUCACCCCCUCAAGCUCUGCCUUCCUGGGGACAGAGCUGGGAGGUUGGAGACAGGCCCUGCCAGGAAAGGUGGAGACAAUGAAAAACUGAGUCUUUUCUUCCUCACGACACACAAAAGACUGAUCCAGAUCCACUGCGUAUUUGACUUCUGCUUUGGGCAGCACAUCGGACAAGAUGACCUUCACAGGCCCCUCCUAACCUAAACCAUUUGAUGACAAUGUUUUUGUGAAAUAACUUCCAUGCAGUGUAAUUCAUCUGAAAAGCAUGAGCAGAUUUUUUCAUGUAGAAACUAUUUACAUUUAUUGGGUAUUAUCAACAUAUAGAAUAAAUUACAAAACAUUUCUACAAUA